GCCGUGGCCAUCUUACUGGGCAGCAUUGGAUGGUGUCUGAUCUCUAAUACUGCCUGGUAAUGAUGACGGC
ensembl:miRNA